rnacentral:rRNA from 1 species
AGAGUUUGAUCCUGGCUCAGGAUGAACGCUAGCGACAGGCCUAACACAUGCAAGUCGAGGGGCAGCGGAGAGGUAGCAAUACCUUUGCCGGCGACCGGCGCACGGGUGAGUAACACGUAUGCAAUCCACCUGUAACAGGGGGAUAACCCGGAGAAAUCCGGACUAAUACCCCAUAAUAUGGGCGUUCCGCAUGGAGAGCUCAUUAAAGAGAGCAAUUUUGGUUACAGACGAGCAUGCGCUCCAUUAGCCAGUUGGCGGGGUAACGGCCCACCAAAGCGACGAUGGAUAGGGGUUCUGAGAGGAAGGUCCCCCACAUUGGAACUGAGACACGGUCCAAACUCCUACGGGAGGCAGCAGUGAGGAAUAUUGGUCAAUGGUCGGCAGACUGAACCAGCCAAGUCGCGUGAGGGAAGACGGCCCUACGGGUUGUAAACCUCUUUUGUCGGAGAGUAAAGUACGCUACGCGUAGUGUAUUGCAAGUAUCCGAAGAAAAAGCAUCGGCUAACUCCGUGCCAGCAGCCGCGGUAAUACGGAGGAUGCAAGCGUUAUCCGGAUUUAUUGGGUUUAAAGGGUGCGUAGGCGGCACGCCAAGUCAGCGGUGAAAUUUCCGGGCUCAACCCGGACUGUGCCGUUGAAACUGGCGAGCUAGAGUACACAAGAGGCAGGCGGAAUGCGUGGUGUAGCGGUGAAAUGCAUAGAUAUCACGCAGAACCCCGAUUGCGAAGGCAGCCUGCUAGGGUGAAACAGACGCUGAGGCACGAAAGCGUGGGUAUCGAACAGGAUUAGAUACCCUGGUAGUCCACGCAGUAAACGAUGAAUACUAACUGUUUGCGAUACAAUGUAAGCGGUACAGCGAAAGCGUUAAGUAUUCCACCUGGGGAGUACGCCGGCAACGGUGAAACUCAAAGGAAUUGAC